ensembl:lncRNA
GGAGAAUGCAAAGAAGAUGGAAGGGGGGCUGGAGCCUGGGGAGGCAAACUGUGUGACAACAGCCAUCAAAUGAAGGAAAGAGAAACAGCGAAGGUAAAGAAAGAAAGAGCAAACAGGACACAAAGGAGCAUCAUUUCCCUAUCUCUGCCCGCCUUUCCCUCAGCCUGUUGACCUCUGACACCUAUGAAAAUCACUUCCACAUUUGGAAAACUUGGAGAAAUUCCUCAGUUCCUAUGCUUAUUCUUUACAAUGUGUCCCAAAGACCUGUGGUAUCGUCUGUGUUAAGUGCUGGGUUCAAGAGAUUAAGGGCAAUGACUGGCAUCUAGUUCACUUUUAUUUCCAUUUCAGUGCAACCUCACAUCGCUAUACAUCUGUUUUGUUGAUUCAGAAGAGCACUUGAGAUGCUUUACAGUUGAUUUUGACAAGUGCUACAAUUUGAUAUGGGUAGAUAAUUCUUGCUGAGAUGAUUUCAAAAGUACAGAAAUUAUAAUUUUGAGUAGAUAUUACCUUUCUUUAUGAUCAGAAUUUUCAUGUAAUAUACUGUGCACUUAAGCUUCUUAAUCACAUUUGCCUUUUUUUAAACAUUACAUUCUUUCCAUCUAAUCUAGUAAAGUAUUGCAAAUUAAAAUAUUGUUCUAAAUAUAUCUUGUAGUGCUUUUUUUUUUUUUUUUUUUUUUUUUUUUUUUUUUUUUUUUUUUUUUUUUUUUUUUUUUUUUUUUCCAUGCAAUGUGGACAGCUCAUGUAAAACCAACGUAAAAAAAAAAAAAAUUAAAAAUGUUCCCUCCCAACCUUCUCCCCAAAAGUACUUGGUUUGGGAUUUAAUUAAGUAGUGAGACAGGACAAACUGUAAGGUAGGGCUGAUUAACGCACACCUCAGGUAAAUUUCAAC